AGAAACUGCCACACCACACCACCUGCCUGACACAAAACCUGCAGGGUUUAAAUAAAAAUUCAAGACGAGUCCUAGCUUCAAUUUUAUUUGCUCAUUUGAUUAGUUGAAGGCAUUUCCUUUCACUUGACUAGAUCUUUAAAAAGUAACAAUUCCAGUUAUGACUGUUACUGUUGUCAGCUUGCUAGGGUCUAGUAUCUCUGUGGAGACAGCGUUAGGAAAUGCCUGUACUGGAUUAUCUCAAUUACUUUAAUGGAUAAGGAAGCACCCAGUGUAAUUGUGGGCAGGACCAUUCUCAGAGCAGGGGAUUCUGGUGUUUUUGUCAGGAAGAUUUGUUUUGCAAGGGGGAAAGAGGCAAGGCGUCUGGGAUGCGCAGAAACACAGACAAUGUUUUUGAAAAUCAUCUUUAACGAGAUGUGGCGGAAACUGACAGUGAUAUAGAAAACCAGAAUCAUAGUUGCCCUGGAAGACAAAAAGCACAAAAGGAAAGGGCUGGAGAGAUGGCUCAGCGGUUAAGAGCCCCGACUGCUCUUCCAGAGGUCCUGAGUUCAAUUCCCAGCAACCACAUGGUGGCUUACAACCAUCUGUAAAGAGAUCCGAUGCCCUCUUCUGGUGUGUCUGAAAACAGCUACAGUGUACUUAUAUAUAAUAAAUGAAUAAAUCUUUAAAAAAUU